CGGGGCUAGGGCUGUCCCUGGUUCCCGGCGCCUCCUCCGUCUGGGUCUCCGCCUCCGGGACCUGCGGCGGCGGUGAGGUCCGGAGCGCGGCUUCCCCGCGGGCGGGCGGCGCGAUGGGUUGCGGGAACUCCACGGCCACCAGCGGGGGCGCGGGGCGAGGUCCAACAGGAGCAGUUAAAGAUGCGACGGAAGACUCCAUAACAGACGACGACAAGAGGAGAAACUACGGUGGCGUGUACGUUGGCCUGCCCUCCGAAGCAGCCAGCAUGGUGUCUAGUCAAGCCAAGACAGUACGGAAAAAUUAGAGGAAGAAAACAGGAUGACUGGAUACUCAAGAGAACCCAGACUCCAGCAGACCAGAAACAAGAGGUCUUUGAUGCUGAAGCAACCUCUUUUCCAGGGAGGGCUGGGGCACACAGCCUGCUUCUUAACGGAAGCCACAGCAGCCUUGGAAUCGUUCUGUGGAGCGUGGCUCAGCAGAGAGGCAUCACAGAGGUCAGCCUGGAGUUCCCACUGCCAACUCGCCAAAAUCCACCAAGGUUUUUUUUUUAAGUCUAGUAUGCAAAUAGAGCGAAUCCCUUUCCCACAUAGAGCUCUGGGUUUGCUGCCAUUUCGCCCCAAGUGUGUGAUGUGUGUGAUCUGCCUCCUGUGUAAGCUGAGCCAGGGGAACACCAGCCUGUCAUUUCUCUUGUGAAGGGUUUCAGACGCGUAGGAACUGAGCAGAAGAGGUGUCCCGUAGUCCAAUCCCAGGAACCUAGUUAUUGGAAUUUUCCCAGGGGCCUGCCCUGAGAAAAUCCUUCCCAGAGUCCUGGGGAAGAACACUACGUCUGGCGUGUGGUUAUCUGAGGGAAAAGAAUCUAUGUACACCAAAGCUCUUUCAUCUGUUUAUUUUUCUAUGACAAAAUCCUAUCUACACAGCUUCAGCUCCGUCCUCACACUCAGCUCCUCUCUGUGCCUACUGGGCCUGCCUGUCAUAGACCUAACUAAUCUCCUGUGCUUUCGACCUCAUCUCCGUCCUCUGUUCCUUCAUCCUCCAUCUUUCCUUCCUUGUUCCUUACCCCUGGCUCUGAGAAACUGCCUUUUCUUCUCUCCAGUGGCUCUGCCUCACCAGGAAUUCUGCUCCAAUCUUUACUGCACCUGGUUAUGCAAAAAGCCCUAUUGUCCUGAAUCAAUAGCUCUUGGAUGCUACUAGACCUGAAGGCAAGGGAUGGUCUGAGCUUCAUUUGCACAAGAAACAAAGCUAUGCAUCUACAGCCCACCUGUCUUCUAGGCCCUGCAGGGAUGUUACCUAGUGAAUCAGCAGCAGGUCUGAGAAGCUUGUUCUGUUUGCCAUAUGGCCUAGUAGUGUAUGAGCACACAAGAGUUUCAUAGCAGAAGACAGCUGAUAUAUAUUAAAAGCUGAAUAACACCAACUAUUCCUUGAUAAAUGGCUCCCCUCUUCAAGGACUCCUUGGUUUAUCAAGGUAUAGCUUAUUAUAUGCAGCUGAAUCUCUAUACUAUAUUCUUGUGGCUUGCUGCACCUGGUCACCUCUGCUGCACACAGACCCCAGGUGAGUUCUGCUGGGCCUCUCAGCUUUCUCACUGGGGAUGAGACUUGAUAGCUGAUUGCCUUUGUGUGAGGGUCAGAAGUUCCCGCAGUAAUAGUUUAGCAGUUGCUGCUCACAGCCCACAUGGUUGUACAUAGUGGAUGAAAUACCGCUUCGCUGCUCAUGGAUCCCGUGUGUUCUUUGACCCCCUCUGUUGUCUCUGUUCUCUGAUCUCAUCUCUAAGUAGUCAGUUUGAUUCUGGCUUCCAUUUUGCCUGGCCUUUGAAUUACCUGAAAAGUCUUGACCAUCCCUGUUCCUGAGUGGCUAUGUGUCCAUCGUUCCGCUUGUCUGUGACACACCUACACCUGUGACUUUGCAGGAUAGUCAUUGGGCAGAAUCUUGAUGGGAAGACUGUCCUCUGGGGGCUUUUGAAACAAAGAAAAAGCUACACUGUUUUUAGCUAACACCACCAUUCCAUUUUCUGAAUGGAAUUCAUGCCGUGAGCUCAUGUGGCUAUUUUUUGGACCAAAUCAAGGAAUGACUUCAGCAUCUGGGGAAUAUGGAUAUGUAAUUUCUCAUACACCUGACUCUAGAGUGGAAGCCACACGCACGUAGCUGUGGCUUUUUCAGAGGCACCUUCUACCCAGGAGGGAAGUGGUCGCAUAGGCCCACUUUCAACUAAGCUAGUUCAAAAGGAGCUUAUGUGAUGGCUCUUAGAUGCCAGUGUGGACCAGCUCCAUCAGUAUCCCUUGGAGAGCUCCACAGGCUCUGUGGUUGGAGCCUCUCUCUAGUUUAAUGCUGGAAAGGGAUAGCAUUAUGACUGGUGAUCUGUAUUAUGAAUGUGGUGCUGAUAUGCACACAGCCUGAUUUGACCAUUGUUAUUCUGUAGUUUAAUUUUUAAUUGUAUUUUUAUAAGUUUCCCAGCAUCCAAUUUUAUCUCUUUAUAUAAAUAUUACCACCAUUCAGAACCAUGCUGCCCAGUAAUAAACCUUAAGUAGCUGUUGAUUGGCUAUUGAACAUGCAAUCUGCUUAAAAGCAAAUCCAGUAGAUAAUUUGCAGGCUUAAGACACGUGCUUUUAUCUAAGUUGUGAUAUUUGAGUGUGCUGAUUCUUCCCCCCUCUUUUCUUUUUUCUCU